GAGGAAGGAGAGGGGCAGGCCUAACACAUGCAAGUCGAGGGAUAAGCCUUCGGGCUAAGACCGGCGCACGGGUGCGUAACGCGUAUACAAUCUGCCUUUUAUCCGGGGGAUAGCCCGAAGAAAUUUGGAUUAAUACCCUAUGGUAUAAGAGCACGGCAUCGUGCACUUAUUAAAGCUACGGCGGUAAAAGAUGAGUAUGCGUUCUAUUAGCUAGUUGGAGAGGUAACGGCUCCCCAAGGCGACGAUAGAUAGGGGUUCUGAGAGGGAUGUCCCCCACACUGGUACUGAGAUACGGACCAGACUCCUACGGGAGGCAGCAGUGAGGAAUAUUGGACAAUGGUCGGAAGACUGAUCCAGCCAUGCCGCGUGCAGGAUGACGGCCUUAUGGGUUGUAAACUGCUUUUGUAAGGGAAGAAUAAGGAGUACGUGUACUUUGAUGACGGUACCUUACGAAUAAGCAUCGGCUAACUCCGUG
rnacentral:rRNA from 1 species